UGUUUUUGUUUUUUUUUUUUUUUUAUCCCACCGUCUGUCGGGUCCUAAAACUCAAGUCAUCAGGUUUGACAGCAGAGUGCCCUUACCUGCUGAACUGUUUCACCGCCCUGUGGUCUUAUUGUAGGUGGGCACCAAUGGCAUCAUCUCCACCCAGGACUUACCCAGGGAGACUUAAUAUGUCAUUGAUGAUUUACCUACUGACUUCCCAGCCAUUGCCCCAUUCCUGGCUGACAUCCACUCUAGUCACAGCAGUGGCUGGAUCCUGUAUGGAGGACACCUCCUGGGCUGUGCUGAGUCUGGCUGCUUGCUACCUGUGCACAGGCUUCCCGCUGACCGGGUCCAGUUUCCCCACUACCCACUUCUUCCUGGCCACCUGGGAGCAAGUGGGCGCCUAGGAGGAGGACAAGCUUGGGGCUGCAUGGUCUGGAGAGUGAGCUGCAUAGUUCUCCUAAGCAAGGAGAUGGUCUUCAUCCUCCUUACCACUUCCACCCUUGCCUACCCCAGGGACUUUCUGACAAGAGAUGAAAUUGCUUCUUGUGGCUAUGAAGGUAGGUAUGGAGAAGCUAAGUGAGUUCUAUUUCUUAAUGGAUAGUUGAUUUUUUUUAUAUUUUUAGAAAGAUUAAGCCUAGC
ensembl:lncRNA